rnacentral:rRNA from 1 species
UACGAAGGGGGCUAGCGUUGCUCGGAAUCACUGGGCGUAAAGGGUGCGUAGGCGGGUCUUUAAGUCAGGGGUGAAAUCCUGGAGCUCAACUCCAGAACUGCCUUUGAUACUGAAGAUCUUGAGUCCGGGAGAGGUGAGUGGAACUGCGAGUGUAGAGGUGAAAUUCGUAGAAUAUUCGCAAGAACACCAGUGGCGAAGGCGGCUCACUGGCCCGGUACUGACGCUGAGGCACGAAAGCGUGGGGAGCAAACAGG